UGGGGAAUAUUGCGCAAUGGACGAAAGUCUGACGCAGCGACGCCGCGUGAAGGAAGAAGGCCUUCGGGUUGUAAACUUCUUUGGUGAGGGACGACAAAAGGACGGUACCUCAGGAACAAGCCACGGCUAACUACGUGCCAGCAGCCGCGGUAAUACGUAGGUGGCGAGCGUUGUCCGGAAUUACUGGGUGUAAAGGGCGCGUAGGCGGGGAUGUAAGUCAGGUGUGAAAUACCGGGGCUCAACCCCGGGGGUGCAUCUGAAACUAUGUCUCUUGAGUGCUGGAGAGGAAAGCGGAAUUCCUAGUGUAGCGGUGAAAUGCGUAGAGAUUAGGAGGAACACCAGUGGCGAAGGCGGCUUUCUGGACAGUAACUGACGCUGAGGCGCGAAAGCGUGGGGAGCAAACAGG
rnacentral:rRNA from 1 species